UAGAAAAGGGGGGAAGAAGGAGCUGUUGCAGAUCAGAAUUCAACCAGAAAAAGAGUGGAAUGGUUCAAUAUCACUGAUCGAGUGCAAAAAUUCAUCGAGGUAAGUUCUAGAUUAUACAAAUAUGUGAAGGUUUCUAUGGUUUUUUUUUUUUUUGAAAAUUUAUUAAACUCACGGUUUUUGAUACAUAAGAGUAGUAUUUUCACAAUUGUUUAGAGAUACAAAACAAAAUCAGAUAUACAAAAUCUCACAUUAAUCUUAUGAGAUAUAA
rnacentral:lncRNA from 1 species